AGAGUCUGGACAAAAUAAUGCAUCUCUAAAGCCAUAGUCUUAAUAAGCAUAGGCUUAUACUUAUCUCUUACUGAGUUUGAUGCUUAAUAAAUAGCUAAUUCCCAAGCUUUCUUUACCUUUUUGGACAUUGAUCCCUAUGUCUCUACUUUUUGACAGGACCAAGGAACUUAUGAACAGACAACACAAAGGUGGGGUGUUGGGGUUCUACGAUCUCCAGAACAUCAGCAGAGAUUUCCCUUACCAUUUGCAUGGUAUACGGUGAUAGCCCAUAUGAAAGCAACACUUCUUGGGUCAGUAGUGGAGUUGAUAUUGACAAGUAGGUUUUGGAGCAACAAUUGCCUGGUGCCUUUGAAGAAAGGACACCAACAAUGGCUAAGCCAGUCGAAAUAAAUAUUGAUCGAAUAGAAGGAUCAGAGCUGUUUGGAAAGUUACCUUAAUGUGGUAUUCAACAGAGCCAAAUUCAUACAACUGAUGAUCGACCUCUAUAGGCUUUUCUGCACUGUCAUGAAAGGAAUAACAUUGAUUGUUAGAGUGGUUUUGGUCAGCAAGAAUUCAAAUUUGAUAACUACCUCUAGAAUGCAUCUUGUUGUCCAUCGAAGUCAGUUGAGAGUUGUUUAGUGAGGAAAACUACCAAGUGUUUGUAAUUGAGACUUGACCUAAGGAUUAUAAUCUCUUCGCAGAGGGUUAAGACAAAGGGUUUACCUAUCGGCUGUGCAUGUGUUUUUUUCUCCUUUGUCUAAUAAGAAAAGGUAAAUGGCCUCUAAGUGA